CCCUUGAGUAGAUCUCUAUAAAUGCUCUCAUGGCACCUUUAUUUGCUUUAGUAUAUGUCUAGGUUGGACUAGUCUCAUUUAUCUCUUAAUUAAGCAUGGUGCUUAGUUUAGGAAUGAUGAUCUUACUUCCAAAGGAUUUUAAAUUAAGCAUGAUGCUUAGGUUAAAAUUCCCUCCUAAAUCAAAUUAGACAUGGUGUCUAGGUUGAUCUUUGAGCCGAU
rnacentral:lncRNA from 1 species